GUGAGUUUGUGUGCAGAUAAUUACAGCGCACAAGUAUACAGGACUCAAGUCAAAAUAUAUACCAUGAAAUACAGUUUUUUAAUAAGUAAUUUCUUUGCAACUUUGAAGUGAAGUGUGUAAUUUAAGUGUCUUGAAGCUGCUUUGAUGUUAUAGACGUGAGGUGAGCUGCUGCCGUGUUUUUCACCUUUACUGCAUCAUGUCUUUGUUUACUUCAACCAAAUAUCUAUAGAAAUACUGCACAAGGUCAGAUACUGUAUGUUGACAAUUGUUUUUUGUACAGGUGAUAAUGAGUUCUUCUCUCAGACUGUAAACGCUCUGUUCCACCUCGUGAUGUCAGAGGGUAAUCAGAAAUUCUACAAUUUUGAUUUAAAUUGGUUAAAUAAUAGUCUGUAGUAAAUAUACAUGAUUUUUUACACAAAUGAAGAAGCAAUUUGUGAAGAAAUGUUGAAAAAUAUUUAGGAAAUUAGUAAUAAAAGUAAAAGUAAUUUUUGUAAAAAAAAAAAAAAAAGGUCUAAACCAGGACUAAAUCAGGCCUAAAAUCAGGACUAAACCAGGACUAAAACCAAGACUAAAACUAGGUCUUAAACCAGGUCUAAAACCAGGACUAAACCAGGUCUAAACCAGGACUAAACCAGGACUAAACCAGGACCAAACAGGGACUAAAGCCAGGUCUAAGCCAGGUCUAAACCAGGACUAAAUCAGGACUAAAACCAGGUCUAAAGCAGGACUAAACUAGGACUAAACCAGGACUAACCCAGGACCAAACCAGGUCUAAACCAGGUUUAAACUAGGACUAAACUAGGACUAAACCAGGUCUAAACCAGGACUAAAACCAAGACUAAAACUAGGUCUAAAACCAUGACUAAAAUCAGGACUAAAGCCAGGUCUAAACCAGGUCUAAACCAGGUCUAAGCCAGGACCAAAGCCAGGUCUAAACCAAGUCUAAAUCAGGACUAAAAUCAGGUCUAACCCAGAUCUAAACCAGAACUAAACCAGGACUAAACCAGGUCUAAACCAGGUCUAAACCAGGACUAAACCAGGACUAAACAAUUUACCCAAGAAACAAAUUCUCCUAAUACUUUAAACACAAUUUAAAGAAAUAAAGUUGUUCUUUUAUAUUUGUAUUUGUCAGGUCAGACUUUCUGUGCACAUUAGACGAGUUUUGGCCUAGUUUACGACGUGGUUGCUAGGUAACCGUUCUGUUAUUCUCUACUGUGAUGUCAUGAUUUCCAACCAGGAAGUCAAAUUUAAUAAAACUUAAUCAAACGGACAGACUGGGAACUCUUUUUCUUUAUUUUAUUUUGAGUCAAUUCGUAAAUAUAAUCAUUUUUUUACUGUCUUUUAGCAAAAUUUGUAGUCCAGCCUUUACAACGUCGUCAAAUUCUGGAAGGAAAAGUAGCAUUGUUGCCGUAGCGAUAAACAAUUGAAAAUAAAACACUGCAACUUCUGAAUGGAACGGCAAAACCUCCCCGACGCGUUGCCUAAUAAAACAGGAAGCUCGGACUCACUCGUGCAUUACUCAAUUUGUCAAACACUUACGGGUAGCCUCAGAAAACCCCCGUAAACCAGAACCAACCAGCUCUGCGAAGUGGCGAUAAUGAAUUGGUCCCUCGGCGCGCAUUAAGACUUGUUAGUACAUUCA